CAGUCGCCACGGUAAUACGGAGGGCGCGAGCGUUACCCGGAUUUACUGGGCGUAAAGGGCGUGUAGGCGGCCUGGGGCGUCCCAUGUGAAAGGCCACGGCUCAACCGUGGAGGAGCGUGGGAUACGCUCAGGCUAGAGGGUGGGAGAGGGUGGUGGAAUUCCCGGAGUAGCGGUGAAAUGCGCAGACACCGGGAGGAACGCCGAUGGCGAAGGCAGCCACCUGGUCCACUUCUGACGCUGAGGCGCGAAAGCGUGGGGAGCAAACCGGAUUAGAGACCCCGGUAGUCCCUGUCUCUUAUAU
rnacentral:rRNA from 1 species